rnacentral:rRNA from 1 species
GAUGAACGCUGGCGGCGUGCUUAACACAUGCAAGUCGAACGGAGAUUAUAUGUGAGCGUAAGUAGCUUGCUAUGAACAAUCUUUUAUAAUCUUAGUGGCGGACGGGUGAGUAACGCGUGGAUAACCUGCCUUGUACCGGGGGAUAACACUUAGAAAUAGGUGCUAAUACCGCAUAAGCGCACAGGACCGCAUGGUCUGGUGUGAAAAACUCCGGUGGUACAAGAUGGAUCCGCGUCUGAUUAGCUAGUUGGCGGGGUAAUGGCCCACCAAAGCAACGGACAGUAGCCGGGUUGAGAGAGUGGACGGCCACAUUGGGACUGAGACACUGCCCAAACUCCUACGGGAGGCAGCAGUGGGGAAUAUUGCACAAUGGGCGAAAGCCUGAUGCAGCGACGCCGCGUGAGGGAUGACGGCCUUCGGGUUGAAAACCUCUUUCAGCAGGGAAGAAGCAAAAGUGACGGUACCUGCAGAAGAAGCACCGGCUAACUACGUGCCAGCCGCCGCCGUAACAC